UCGAGAAUUUUUCUCAAUGGGGGAAACCCUGAAGGAGCGACGCCGCGUGGAGGAUGAAGGUCUUCGGAUUGUAAACUCCUGUCAUUAGGGAACAAGUGUCGCCAAGUAACUACCGCCAACUUGAUAGUACCUGAAGAGGAAGAGACGGCUAACUCUGUGCCAGCAGCCGCGGUAAUACAGAGGUCUCAAGCGUUGUUCGGAUUCAUUGGGCGUAAAGGGUGCGUAGGUGGCGCCAUAAGUCAGGUGUGAAAUCUCGGAGCUCAACUCCGAAACUGCACUUGAUACUGUGGUGCUCGAGUACUGGAGAGGAGAUUGGAAUUUACGGUGUAGCAGUGAAAUGCGUAGAUAUCGUAAGGAAGACCAGUGGCGAAGGCGAAUCUCUGGACAGUUACUGACACUGAGGCACGAAGGCCAGGGGAGCAAACGGGAUUAGAUACCCCCGUAGUCC
rnacentral:rRNA from 1 species